CACGCACGUAUUGAACAAAUAUUCUAUAUUGUAUAUUUAAACAUAUAGAGAUUAGUUAAAAAUUCAUCUGCACCCAAUCAUAUUUCAAACAUCUGAUAUCUCAAUGUACUUUCACAAAUCGGUAGCUUGGACACUGUAAAAAUGUAAAAAAUUGGCAGAAGCAAGUUAACAUUCUCAAGAGUAUAAGACACAGAUACUGUACAUAGGAGAAGAACAAGCAAACUUUAAGUAGCAAGUGGUAGACUUGAUCAUCUGAAUGCUUAUUUGCUGAGAAGUUCAUAUCUGAAUCAUCCAAACCUCUUCCAUAGCCAAACUUCUGGGCACCAUCAUACAUCCCUGGUACUUGAAAUAUUUAGAUAUCUACUGUUGCAAUACUGCAUUGCCAGCACAAAUGUUAGAUAAAUACACAA